UUCGCCUGUUUUAAUCAAAACAUGUCUUUAGGAAAAAAAUUUAAAGUCUGGCCUGCCCACUGAUAAAAUUAAAGGGCUGCGGUAAAUUGACCGUGCGAAGGUAGCAUAAUCAAUAGUCUUUUAAUUGGAGGCUGGAAUGAACGGUCGGACGGGGAUAGUCUGUCUUUUAAUUAAGAAUUGAAUUUUACUUUUAAGUGAAAAGGCUUAAAUCUACAAGGGGGACGAUAAGACCCUAUAAAACUUAAUGAGUGAGAUUUUUUAGUAAAAUAUUAAUUUAAAAUUAAAAAGUUUUAUAUCAUUACAUUGGGGCGAUGGGAAUAUAAGUUGUUAACUGUUCUUUAUUUUAGAAUAUGAAUGGGUAUUGAGUUGAUGAUCCUUAAUUUAGGAUUAUAAGUUAAAGUUACUUUAGGGAUAACAGCGUUAUUUUUUCUGAGAGUUCUUUUCGAAGAAAGUAGUUGCGACCUCGAUGUUGAAUUAAGAUGUUAUUAAGGUGCAGAAGCUUUAAUUGUAGGUCUGUUCGACCUUUAAAAUCUUACAUGAUUUGAGUUCAAACCGGUGUGAGCCAGGUGGGGUUUUCUAUCUUAAA
rnacentral:rRNA from 1 species